AUACAUAGGGGGCAAGCGUUAUCCGGAAUUAUUGGGCGUAAAGAGCAUGUAGGCGGUUUUUUAAGUCCGGAGUGAAAAUGCGGGGCUCAACCCCGUAUGGCUCUGGGUACUGGAAGACUUGAGUGCAGGAGAGGAAAGGGGAAUUCCCAGUGUAGCGGUGAAAUGCGUAGAUAUUGGGAGGAACACCAGUGGCGAAGGCGCCUUUCUGGACUGUGUCUGACGCUGAGAUGCGAAAGCCAGGGUAGCGAACGGGAUUAGAUACCCCGGUAGUCCUGGCCGUAAACGAUGGGUACUAGGUGUAGGAGGUAUCGACCCCUUCUGUGCCGGAGUUAACGCAAUAAGUACCCCGCCUGGGGAGUACGUCCGCAAGGAUGAAACUCAAAGGAAUUGACGGGG
rnacentral:rRNA from 1 species